rnacentral:lncRNA from 1 species
AUGGGUCAGGGCAGUCUAGGGAUUUGCUACAGAUUUAUUCUACUCCAUAGCUACGCUGAUGAUGACAACAGUGUAGCAUCUCCAGGGGGAUAGAAAGGAACUCUCCUGUCCUGUGACGCUGGCACAAACUAAAACCCUGAUGGAAUAAGAUUCAGAACAGGCAGGAAAAGAAGGAAGACUGGAAGUGAGCUGGAGCAUCAAGGCUCCCGCUGGGGGCAGCAGAGAGCAGCUGAAGAAGACGCUCUGUCCCUCUGAAGGGUCACGCUCCGCACAACAUAGGGCCGUGGUCUUGCGGCAGAUAAAAGACGAUGUCUUUCGCAACUUCUCCUCAGGCUCAUCUUGCAUAGAAGAAUCAUCCACAGAGACAGGCAAAGCCAAAACUAGAGGCAGAUACUGGAGGGAAUACGACACAGAUUGAAGGUUACACACAGAAGAGACUUGAAGUUCCUCGCAAAACAAAUAGAAGAGUAAGAACCCUGCUGAAUGAAAGCCAAGAAGGUCCAUCUCUUUAGGAAGUUAAGAAACAGAAUAAAAAUAAACGACAUGACGUGAAUGAGCUUGUCAGUCUUUAAAGCAUUACAAAAAUUCCCUUACACCGUCAAAUAUACAGAGGAUAUAAAGCUUUGCUGCGAAUAUAGCCAUGUGUAAAAUUUGUUUUCAAUAUGCCAGGUUGGCUCUGUGGAAAUUUCCUGGCUCUUUCUGCACUUUUUUAACUCCUACACUUAGGAGUUAAAGAGCUUGCAUAAGGCAAUUGUACGGGGUGGAAUCACUGCUACAUACACGCUAUAGACUCAUCCUAAGUAAUCUCUGUGAAAUCAUGAGCUUAGUGUUCCACUUACAUGUUGCAUAAUACAUAGCAUCCUCACCACAUGUACCUCUCAAUCCAGGAAACGCCACAUCCAGCCAGGCAGUGGUGUGGGUGUCAGAAGUCUGAGCAGGUGGAAAUUGUGGGUAAGACUGAGUUACACUGGCUCUUUCUUGAUAAACAAGCUUGAGUGGGCAAAACUUUGAUCCUGCUCACAUUUAC